UCUUCCAAGAUUCCAUCCAGGUUACCAGAUUGCAUUUGGUGGUCAUGUCUCCUUAGGCUCCUCUUGGCUGGGAUAGUUUCUGAGACGUUCCUGGUUUUCGAUGACCUUGACAGUUUUGAGGAGUACUAGUCAGGUAUUCAACAAGAAGGGGAGAGGAGCUUCUCUAGUCUCACCAACUGCAGCCUCACUCUUCCUGUGUAAUUUCUAAAUAGGAGGUAGAGCAAAUAUUCUGGACUGUUCUCAUGGAAGCUCACGGGAAUCAUGAUUAUUUCUGUGAACUCACCAGCAUGGCCACUUCGUUGGACUUGGGACUUCCUUUAUUCCUCAAGUUGGCCACCAUCGUCAUGAGAAGAGCCCUUCUGACCACCUGCUCUGCUUUCACCUCAGUCCAAGCCACCACCGUCUUGGGCCUGUAUUCAUGUUGUGAGAGCCUCCCACUCCUCUCAGCUUCCCCCUUAGUCUCUCCUCGUCUCUAGCCACACCUUUGCCAAAGUAACCCUGUCAAGGCCAAUGGUGUCAUCCCUGCUCAAAACUCCACAGUGAGUCUGCACAUAAUUUAAGCUGCACUAAUUCACAUCUCUUUCGUGGGGAAAAUGAACUCACCCUCCUCCAAAAGUUGAGUCUCCUGAUUUCAUCAUCUAAAUCAAGUCCAGAUGCAGAUAAGAUUUCUCGGACGAUACUCUUCAGUGAGCUUUUCUGGUGUGGCUGCACUUCACAUGGUGGCCAGUUUCAAACAAUUUCAACACAGGGCAAGCCGCAAUGUACAAGAACUUUCAGAUUUCUGCUUAUGUUGUGUUUGCUAAAGGCCUAUUGCCCAAAGAAAUCACAUGACCAAACCCAGAGUCGGUGUAGGAGAUGACUCUCCAAAAAUGAGGAUGAAAGGGUGAGAUAUUGUGACAAUUUUACAGACUAUUUGCCACAGUGAAGGAGGAGGAAGUAGUGGAAAUUGAUUGAGUAAAGCCAUGAUCUUGGGAGACUGUAUUGUAAGGAUCUUAUAUGUGUCAUCAUUUUAAGGCAUUAAGACAUUUUUGUACACUUCAUUUUCUAUAAGUGGCAUUAAAGAAUAAAGAAGUAAAAUUUAUGUUUUCCAAGAGGAAUUUGUAGAUGAGAAAAUAAUGCUCCUUUUUCGGUAUUAUGUGAUGAUUUAUGUUCUUUGAGUAUUCCUUCUUCUCUUGCUUGCUGGCUCCUCAUGUCAUCGCAGAGCACCAGUGACACCAUGUAUUCCAUAUUUUAGGGCCCAUGAAAAUUCCCCAAAUAGCUUCAUCUGGCAUACCCAUCUUGUUAUAGUCCCAGCACAGACCUUGAGUUUCUUUACUGACAUUCUAGCAGCGGGAGCAAAAUCAGUGCAGCAUUUGCCUAAGUAAAAUGAAAAGACAACCUAAGAAGCGGGAGAAAACAUUUGCAAACCAUAUAUCAGACAAGGAGUUAAUAUCCAAAAUAUAUAAGGAACUCUUACAAAUCAAUUGCAAAAUACACAAAUAAUCCAGUUAAAAAAUGGGCAGAGGACCUGAAUAGACAUUUUUCCAAAGAAGGAAGACAUGUGGCCAGUAGGUACAUGAAAUGAUGCUCAACAUCACUAGUCAUCAGGGAAAUAAAAAUCAAAACUACAAUGAGAUAUCACUUCAAACUUGACAAAAUGGCUAUUAUAAAAAAGACAAGAUAUAACAAGCGUUGGUGAGAAUGUGGAGAAAAGGGAACCCUAGUGCACCUUUGGUGGGAAUGUAGAUUGGUGCAGCCACUGUGGAAAACAGUGUGGUGGUUCCUCAAAAACUUAAAAAUGGAGCUACCAUAUGAUCCAGCAAUUCUACGUCUGAGUAUAUAUCUGAAGGAAAUGAAAUCACUAUCUCAAAGAGACAUCUGCACCCUCAUGUUCAUUGAGGCAUUAUUUACAUUAACCAAGACAUUGAAACAACCUAUGUGUCUAUCAGUGGAGAAAUGGAUAAAGAGGUGGUAUGCAUAUACACAACAGAAUAUCAUUCAGCCAUAAAAAGAAGGGAAUCCUUCCAUUUGCAACAGCAUGGAUGGACCUUGAGGGCAUUAUGCUAAGUGAAAUAAGUCAGACAGACAAAGAUAAAUAUGCUAUGAUCUCAUUUAUAUGUGGAAUCUAAAAAUACCAAACUCACAGAUACUGAGAACAGA